ACACCGAGGGUGCAAGCGUUAAUCGGAUUUACUGGGCGUAAAGCGCGCGUAGGCGGCUAAUUAAGUCAAAUGUGAAAUCCCCGAGCUUAACUUGGGAAUUGCAUUCGAUACUGGUUAGCUAGAGUGUGGGAGAGGAUGGUAGAAUUCCAGGUGUAGCGGUGAAAUGCGUAGAGAUCUGGAGGAAUACCGAUGGCGAAGGCAGCCAUCUGGCCUAACACUGACGCUGAGGUGCGAAAGCAUGGGGAGCAAACAGAAUUAGAUACCCCUGUAGUCC
rnacentral:rRNA from 1 species